AGCGAACGCUGGCGGCAGGCCUAACACAUGCAAGUCGAACGGCUCUUCGGAGCAGUGGCGGACGGGUGAGUAACGCGUGGGAACGUGCCCUUUGGUUCGGAACAACACAGGGAAACUUGUGCUAAUACCGGAUAAGCCCUUACGGGGAAAGAUUUAUCGCCAAAAGAUCGGCCCGCGUCUGAUUAGCUAGUUGGUGAGGUAAUGGCUCACCAAGGCGACGAUCAGUAGCUGGUCUGAGAGGAUGAUCAGCCACACUGGGACUGAGACACGGCCCAGACUCCUACGGGAGGCAGCAGUGGGGAAUAUUGGACAAUGGGCGCAAGCCUGAUCCAGCCAUGCCGCGUGAGUGAUGAAGGCCCUAGGGUUGUAAAGCUCUUUUGUGCGGGAAGAUAAUGACGGUACCGCAAGAAUAAGCCCCGGCUAACUUCGUGCCAGCCGCCGCCGUAAUAC
rnacentral:rRNA from 1 species